rnacentral:tRNA from 1 species
GGUUGUGCCUCAGUGGUAGAGCAUGCGCCUUGCAUAGGAAAGGCCCUGGGUUCAAUCCCCAGCACCA